AAACCAGCACCUCAAGUGGUCAGGAUGAUUAUUGGGCCUAGAGCAUCCGUAGCCUGUUCUGUAAGUUUCCGGUUAAAUCCAUUAGCUCAACUAAUGGGCUGCCGAAAAUACUGCAGAACUAGGGAGUGGGAGAGGUAGACGGUACUCGGUAGGAAGGGGUAAAAUCCUUUGAUCUAUUGAUGACCACCUGUGGCGAAGGCGGUCUACCAGAACACGUUCGACGGUGAGGGAUGAAAGCUGGGGGAGCAAACCGGAUUAGAAACCCGGGUAGUCC
rnacentral:rRNA from 1 species